rnacentral:lncRNA from 1 species
UAUGGAUAUAUAUGGCACACAAGGAUACAGAUGAGCUAAGAAGACCUUUGUGCAACGUUGACUUUCUAUGGGCCAACUUCUAUGUGCAGUACAAAGUUCAUAUCAAGCACGUUCUAAAACUCAGUAAUCCAAUUUAAUUAAGACUCGUUUCUAAGAUUUCUAACUGGGUUGAUAAUUAAAUUGUUCAAUUUCAAAUGAAUGACACAAUCCAAA